rnacentral:rRNA from 1 species
UAUGGAAAAGCAAAUGUAGGCAUGAGUAACGAUAAUGCGGGAGAGUAACCCGCACACCGCAAGACCAAGGUUUCCUGAUCAACGCUAAUCGGAUCAGGGUUAGUCGGGUCCUAAGGGUAAGCCGAACGGUGAUCUCGAUGGACAAUCGGUUAAUAUUCCGAUACUAACAUAUACCUCGAUGGAGAGACGAAGGAACGUAAGUGACGCCGCCUGACGGAAUAGGUGGUUAAAGGGCGUAGGUAUAGGGACAGAUUAAGAGUUAGUCCUUGCUGAAACCCGACAGUACGGAGCGGCUACGGCCAAUCUGAUAGUUCACCCAAGUCGACUUCCGAGAAAAUCUUCUAAGUUAUAGUAUAUGUUACCCGUACCGUAAACCGACACAGGUGGUCGAGGAGAGUAUCCUAAGGUGCUCGAGUGAAUCACGGUUAAGGAACUAGGCAAAUUAACCCCGUAACUUCGGGAAAAGGGGUCCCUACGCGAGUAGGGCGCAGCGAAGAGGUCCAGGCGACUGUUUAUCAAAAACACAGGGCUCUGCAAAUUCGAAAGAAGACGUAUAGGGCCUGACACCUGCCCGGUGCUGGAAGGUUAAGAGGGGAUGUCAUCGCAAGAGAAGCAUUGAAUCGAAGCCCCAGUAAACGGCGGCCGUAACUAUAACGGUCCUAAGGUAGCGAAAUUCCUUGUCGGGUAAGUUCCGACCUGCACGAAUGGUGUAACGAUCUGGACACUGUCUCAACCGUGAGCUCGGUGAAAUUGUAGUCCCGGUGAUGAUGCCGGGUACCCGCAACGGGACGAAAAGACCCCGUGAACCUUUACUAUAGCUUAACGCUGAAUUUGGGUACACAAUGUGUAGGAUAGGCCGGAGACAUUGAAGCGGGUACGCCAGUAUUCGUGGAGUCAACGUUGAAAUACGGCCCUUUGUGUACUUGGAUUCUAACCCUUGAUAGGGGACACCGUUUGGUGGGUAGUUUGACUGGGGUGGUCGCCUCCAAAAGCGUAACGGAGGCUUCCCAAGGUACCCUCAGCACGAAUGGUAACCGUGCGCGGAGUGCAAUAGCAUAAGGGUGCUUGACUGUGAGACAUACAAGUCGACCAGGUACGAAAGUAGGGUAUAGUGAUCCGGUGGUUCUGCGUGGACUGGCCAUCGCUCAAAGGAUAAAAGGUACUCCGGGGAUAACAGGCUGAUCGCCGCCAAGAGCUCAUAUCGACGCGGCGGUUUGGCACCUCGAUGUCGGCUCGUCACAUCCUGGGGCUGGAGAAGGUCCCAAG